AUCCGUCGACUUUAGAAAUCGUGAGGGUUCAAGUCCCUCUAUCCCCAN
rnacentral:tRNA from 1 species